rnacentral:rRNA from 1 species
CCUACGGGAGACAGCAGUGGGGAAUAUUGGUCAAUGGGCGGAAGUCUGACCCAGCAACGCCGCGUGCUCGAAGACGGGUCUAUGGGUUGUAAACUUCUUUUGUACGAGGCUAAACCUCAAUGCGUGUAUUCUUCUGAAAGUCCUGUACGAAUAAGGAUGGUCUAACUCCGUGCCAGCAGCCGCGGUAGUACGGAGGAUGCAAGCGUUCGCCGGAUUGACUGGGUGUAAAGGAUGCGUAGGCGGAUGGAUAAGUUAGAGGUGAAAGGUCCGGGCGUAACCUGGGAACUGACUUUAAUACUGGGGAUCUAGAGAGCAGAUGAGGGAGGUGGAAUGCAUGGUGUAGCGGUGAAAUGCGUAGAGAUUAGACAGAACACCGAUGGCGAAGGCAGCUUACUAAUCUAUACCUGACGUUGAGGCGCGAAAGCGUGGGGAGCAAACAGGAUUAGAUACCCCAGUAGUC